rnacentral:snRNA from 1 species
AUGAUGGCUUCAGCAACAAAUAUACUAAAAUUAGAACAAUAAAGACAAUAUUAGUAUGGCCCCUGUGCAAGGAUUACUCACAAAACUGUUCCACACAAUCCU